AGUUUUCCCUAUCGCGGGGACGGCGGAGUCAGUGCCGUCGCUCCUCGCGGUAGUUCUAUUGAAAGCCAGGAGGGCGGGCGCCACGGACGGCGCAUU
rnacentral:sRNA from 1 species